rnacentral:tRNA from 1 species
GCGCCCUUAGCUCAGUUGGAUAGAGCACUCGCCUUCUAAGCGAGGGGUCGCUGGUUCGAAUCCAGCAGGGCGCG